UACGUAGGGGGCGAGCGUUGUCCGGAUUUAUUGGGCGUAAAGAGCGUGUAGGCGGUUCGGUAAGUCUGUCGUGAAAUCCUGAGGCUCAACCUCGGGCGUGCGAUGGAUACUGCCGGGCUAGAGGGUGGUAGAGGCGAGUGGAAUUCCCGGUGUAGCGGUGAAAUGCGCAGAUAUCAGGAAGAACACCAAUGGCGAAAGCAGCUCUCUGGGACGGUACUGACGCUGAGACGCGAAAGCGUGGGGAGCGAACAGG
rnacentral:rRNA from 1 species